rnacentral:rRNA from 1 species
AUGUGGUCACUGCCCCUGCUCCAUCCGACCUCCGUGGCGGCCGAGAGCCUGAUCCGCGCCGACGCCGUGCAGGCGGCGACCGGGGUGGGCGUGGAGAGGGCCGAUGCGGUAGCCGCGAGCGGGGCGGUGGCGGCCAAGGCCAGGGAGGACGAGGUUAGGGAGUACAAGAGUGACGUGUUGAACCCCUCCGCGGAGGAGUUCGUGCCGCUCUCCCGCCGCCAGGGGGACGGUGCACGCCGCCUGUCGGCCGACACGCCCGUCUUCGUCUCGCCCGACUACUAUGCUCCUCCGUCCACCGACUCUGUCCAUGCAGGUGGCCAGUUUCCUUCCGCCGCAACCUUCUCCACUGUCUCCCCAGUUCAUCCUCCGUCCCUUGCUGCCCGAGAUUCUCAUCUGCUCAGGCCGCGAGGAAGCCACGUGAGGAGGAGAGACCUCGUCUCGAGAAUCUCGGGAGGAGGGGCUCAACCAGAGAGGAGCAGAUGCCAGCCAGGUAGUUGGCUCGGCUUGACGCCGUCCUUCAUGUAUGGGCCGUGGGAGACCCUAGCGCCAUCCUUCAGGUGUCUUCACGGCUGCAGGAGUGUAUGUGAGCCCCCAACCAUCUCUCUAUUGCAAGAGCAGAUGCAGACGUCAUGA